rnacentral:rRNA from 1 species
UACGGAGGAUCCGAGCGUUAUCCGGAUUUAUUGGGUUUAAAGGGUGCGUAGGCGGGCUUUUAAGUCUGAUGUGAAAGCCUUCGGCUUAACCGGAGUAGUGCAUUGGAAACUGGGAGACUUGAGUGCAGAAGAGGAGAGUGGAACUCCAUGUGUAGCGGUGAAAUGCGUAGAUAUAUGGAAGAACACCAGUGGCGAAAGCGGCUCUCUGGUCUGUAACUGACGCUGAGGUUCGAAAGCGUGGGUAGCAAACAGG